AUGAGCUCACAAAAACACCGGACAAGAUUUUAUCAAUCCUCCUUUGAAUCAGACCUCUGUAAAAGAUCAAUAAACAUUAGACUAGUGCCUGCUGAGAAGUCGGGUGCACAUAACUCUGUGGAGAUUCUUAGUUUUCAUCCAUUAUCACACAAUCUUAUUGUGAGAGCAUUCCUGGCAUCAUCACUUGUCUCAACUGAUUAUUUAAUGGAGAUAUCCUAUCACCAUCUCCACAAUGCAGAUAUUUUUCGAGGAGUGCAGUCGGAAAGGAAGAGAUGGAACUGCAGUGCACAUGCCAGCUGGGAAUCGGUGACUCAGGAUAUUCAGUCACAAAUGGUGUCUGUCCGUUUCCAGCUGAAGGCAGGGAGGUUUGAGCUUGGUCUAAGAGCAGAAUUCUACUAG
rnacentral:lncRNA from 1 species